rnacentral:lncRNA from 1 species
AGCCAGUGUAAAAGGAGGUGGGUCUAGGGGGUUGGGAAUCAGGAGGAGAUCAGGUUCUGCAGGACCCUAAUUGCCAGGAGAUGGAAUUUUGUCUUUAUCCUGAAGAUAAUCAGUGGUUUUUGAUAAGGAGAUAGAAUAAAAAUUUGAAAGCAGCCUCUAAAUUUCAGAAAUGGAAUCCGUUCUUGAGAGUUGAUUUCAAAUAAGAAUCUCCACACUUGGAGCACGAGGUCUGGCCUGUCAAGCAAUUUCUGUCAGUUUCCAGAUUAGUGACGGGUGACUUGGCACCGGGGCUGCUGGGCUGGCAAGAAAGGAGCUCUCGUGUGUCAUAUCAGGGACCGCCACAGGCACCCGGGGCCACGUGACUUGUC